rnacentral:rRNA from 1 species
GAUGAACGCUGGCGGCGUGCCUAAUACAUGCAAGUCGAGCGAACGGACGAGAAGCUUGCUUUUCUGAUGUUAGCGGCGGACGGGUGAGUAACACGUGGAUAACCUACCUAUAAGACUGGGAUAACUUCGGGAAACCGGAGCUAAUACCGGAUAAUAUUUUGAACCGCAUGGUUCAAAAGUGAAAGACGGUCUUGCUGUCACUUAUAGAUGGAUCCGCGCUGCAUUAGCUAGUUGGUAAGGUAACGGCUUACCAAGGCAACGAUGCAUAGCCGACCUGAGAGGGUGAUCGGCCACACUGGAACUGAGACACGGUCCAGACUCCUACGGGAGGCAGCAGUAGGGAAUCUUCCGCAAUGGGCGAAAACCUGACGGAGCAACGCCGCGUGAGUGAUGAAGGUCUUCGGAUCGUAAAACUCUGUUAUUAGGGAAGAACAUAUGUGUAAGUAACUGUGCACAUCUUGACGGUACCUAAUCAGAAAGCCACGGCUAACUACGUG